GACGAACGCUGGCGGCGUGCCUAACACAUGCAAGUCGAGCGGAGAUUGCAGUAAUGUAAUCUUAGCGGCGGACGGGUGAGUAACGCGUGGGCAACCUACCUUUAUCUGGGGGAUAACACAGGGAAACUUGUGCUAAUACCGCAUAAAAUCAUAAGAAGACAUCUUCUAAUGAUCAAAGGAGUAAUCCGGAUAGAGAUGGGCCCGCGUCCGAUUAGCUAGUUGGUGGUGUAACGGACCACCAAGGCGACGAUCGGUAGCCGAACUGAGAGGUUGAUCGGCCACAUUGGGACUGAGACACGGCGCAGACUCCUACGGGAGGCAGCAGUGGGGAAUAUUGCGCAAUGGGGGAAACCCUGACGCAGCAACUCCGCGUGAAGGAUGAAGGUUUUCGGAUCGUAAACUUCUUUGAUGAGGGACGAAUAAAUGACGGUACCUCAAAAACAAGCCACGGCUAACUACGUGCCAGCCGCCGCCGUAA
rnacentral:rRNA from 1 species